rnacentral:tRNA from 1 species
GGUAAGGUAAGCUAAUUAAGCUCCCGGGCCCAUGCCCCGGGAAUGUUGGUUAAAGUCCUCCCUUUACCA